CCUUUGUACACACCGCCCGUCGCUACUACCGAUUGAAUGGCUUAGUGAGACCUCCGGAUUGACGGUUUUUGGGCCGCAAGGCCUGAUGAUUGUUGAGAAGCUGGUCAAACUUGGUCAUUUAGAGG
rnacentral:rRNA from 1 species